GGAUGAACGCUGGCGGCGUGCCUAAUACAUGCAAGUCGAGCGAACGGACGAGAAGCUUGCUUCUCUGAUGUUAGCGGCGGACGGGUGAGUAACACGUGGAUAACCUACCUAUAAGACUGGGAUAACUUCGGGAAACCGGAGCUAAUACCGGAUAAUAUUUUGAACCGCAUGGUUCAAAAGUAAAAGACGGUCUUGCUGUCACUUAUAGAUGGAUCCGCGCUGCAUUAGCUAGUUGGUAAGGUAACGGCUUACCAAGGCAACGAUGCAUAGCCGACCUGAGAGGGUGAUCGGCCACACUGGAACUGAGACACGGUCCAGACUCCUACGGGAGGCAGCAGUAGGGAAUCUUCCGCAAUGGGCGAAAGCCUGACGGAGCAACGCCGCGUGAGUGAUGAAGGUCUUCGGAUCGUAAAACUCUGUUAUUAGGGAAGAACAUAUGUGUAAGUAACUGUGCACAUCUUGACGGUACCUAAUCAGAAAGCCACGGCUAACUACGUGCCAGCAGCCGCGGUAAUACGUAGGUGGCAAGCGUUAUCCGGAAUUAUUGGGCGUAAAGCGCGCGUAGGCGGUUUUUUAAGUCUGAUGUGAAAGCCCACGGCUCAACCGUGGAGGGUCAUUGGAAACUGGAAAACUUGAGUGCAGAAGAGGAAAGUGGAAUUCCAUGUGUAGCGGUGAAAUGCGCAGAGAUAUGGAGGAACACCAGUGGCGAAGGCGACUUUCUGGUCUGUAACUGACGCUGAUGUGCGAAAGCGUGGGGAUCAAACAGGAUUAGAUACCCUGGUAGUCCACGCCGUAAACGAUGAGUGCUAAGUGUUAGGGGGGUUUCCGCCCCUUAGUGCUGCAGCUAACGCAUUAAGCACUCCGCCUGGGGAGUACGACCGCAAGGUUGAAACUCAAAGGAAUUGACGGGGACCCGCACAAGCGGUGGAGCAUGUGGUUUAAUUCGAAGCAACGCGAAGAACCUUACCAAAUCUUGACAUCCUUUGACAACUCUAGAGAUAGAGCCUUCCCCUUCGGGGGACAAAGUGACAGGUGGUGCAUGGUUGUCGUCAGCUCGUGUCGUGAGAUGUUGGGUUAAGUCCCGCAACGAGCGCAACCCUUAAGCUUAGUUGCCAUCAUUAAGUUGGGCACUCUAAGUUGACUGCCGGUGACAAACCGGAGGAAGGUGGGGAUGACGUCAAAUCAUCAUGCCCCUUAUGAUUUGGGCUACACACGUGCUACAAUGGACAAUACAAAGGGCAGCGAAACCGCGAGGUCAAGCAAAUCCCAUAAAGUUGUUCUCAGUUCGGAUUGUAGUCUGCAACUCGACUACAUGAAGCUGGAAUCGCUAGUAAUCGUAGAUCAGCAUGCUACGGUGAAUACGUUCCCGGGUCUUGUACACACCGCCCGUCACACCACGAGAGUUUGUAACACCCGAAGCCGGUGGAGUAACCUUUUAGGAGCUAACCGUCGAAGGUGGGACAAAUGAUUGGGGUGAAGUCGUAACAAGGUAACC
rnacentral:rRNA from 1 species